AUUAAGAGCUUGCUCUUAUGAAGUUAGCGGCGGACGGGUGAGUAACACGUGGGUAACCUGCCCAUAAGACUGGGAUAACUCCGGGAAACCGGGGCUAAUACCGGAUAACAUUUUGAACCGCAUGGUUCGAAAUUGAAAGGCGGCUUCGGCUGUCACUUAUGGAUGGACCCGCGUCGCAUUAGCUAGUUGGUGAGGUAACGGCUCACCAAGGCAACGAUGCGUAGCCGACCUGAGAGGGUGAUCGGCCACACUGGGACUGAGACACGGCCCAGACUCCUACGGGAGGCAGCAGUAGGGAAUCUUCCGCAAUGGACGAAAGUCUGACGGAGCAACGCCGCGUGAGUGAUGAAGGCUUUCGGGUCGUAAAACUCUGUUGUUAGGGAAGAACAAGUGCUAGUUGAAUAAGCUGGCACCUUGACGGUACCUAACCAGAAAGCCACGGCUAACUACGUGCCAGCAGCCGCGGUAAUACGUAGGUGGCAAGCGUUAUCCGGAAUUAUUGGGCGUAAAGCGCGCGCAGGUGGUUUCUUAAGUCUGAUGUGAAAGCCCACGGCUCAACCGUGGAGGGUCAUUGGAAACUGGGAGACUUGAGUGCAGAAGAGGAAAGUGGAAUUCCAUGUGUAGCGGUGAAAUGCGUAGAGAUAUGGAGGAACACCAGUGGCGAAAGCGACU
rnacentral:rRNA from 1 species